GUAGGGAAUAUUGGACAAUGGGGGGAACCCUGAUCCAGCCAUGCCGCGUGGAGGAAGACUGCCCUCUGGGUUGUAAACUCCUUUUAUAUGGGAAGAACCGUCCUCAUUAAUGAGUGACCUGACGGUACCAUAGGAAUAAGCACCGGCUAACUCCGUGCCAGCAGCCGCGGUAAUACGGAGGGUGCAAGCGUUAUCCGGACUCACUGGGUUUAAAGGGUGCGUAGGCGGAUAAAUAAGUCAGUGGUGAAAUCAACGGGCUCAACCUGUUAACUGCCAUUGAUACUGUGUAUCUUGAAUAUGAGAGAGGUAGGCGGAAUGUUGCAUGUAGCGGUGAAAUGCUUAGAUAUAACACAGAACACCGAUUGCGAAGGCAGCUUACUGGGAUGCAACUGACGCUCAUGCACGAAAGCGUGGGGAUCAAACAGGAUUAGAUACCCCAGUAGUCC
rnacentral:rRNA from 1 species